CACUGCCGAGAAAAGCCUCUAGCUAGAAUAACGGUGCCCGUACCGCAAACCGACACAGGUAGUCAAGAUGAGAAUUCUAAGGUGAGCGAGCGAACUCUCGUUAAGGAACUCGGCAAAAUGACCCCGUAACUUCGGGAGAAGGGGUGCUCUUUGAGGUUCACGCUUCGAAGAGCCGCAGUGAAUAGGCCCAAGCGACUGUUUAUCAAAAACACAGGUCUCUGCUAAACCGUAAGGUGACGUAUAGGGGCUGACGCCUGCCCGGUGCUGGAAGGUUAAGAGGAGUGGUUAGCGCAAGCGAAGCUACGAAUCGAAGCCCCAGUAAACGGCGGCCGUAACUAUAACGGUCCUAAGGUAGCGAAAUUCCUUGUCGGGUAAGUUCCGACCCGCACGAAAGGCGUAACGAUUUGGGCACUGUCUCAACGAGAGACUCGGUGAAAUCAUAGUACCGGUGAAGAUGCCGGUUACCCGCGACAGGACGGAAAGACCCCGUGGAGCUUUACUGUAGCCUGAUAUUGAAAUUCGGUACAGUUUGUACAGGAUAGGUAGGAGCCUUAGAAGCGUGAGCGCUAGCUUACGUGGAGGCAUUGGUGGGAUACUACCCUAAUUGUAUUGGAUUUCUAACCCGCAGCACUUAUCGUGCUGGGAGACAGUGUCAGGCGGGCAGUUUGACUGGGGCGGUCGCCUCCUAAAGAGUAACGGAGGCGCUCAAAGGUUCCCUCAGAAUGGUUGGAAAUCAUUCAUAGAGUGUAAAGGCAUAAGGGAGCUUGACUGCGAGACCUACAAGUCGAGCAGGGUCGAAAGACGGACUUAGUGAUCCGGUGGUUCCGCAUGGAAGGGCCAUCGCUCAACGGAUAAAAGCUACCCCGGGGAUAACAGGCUUAUCUCCCCCAAGAGUUCACAUCGACGGGGAGGUUUGGCACCUCGAUGUCGGCUCAUCG
rnacentral:rRNA from 1 species